GUCUUUGUGGCUCAGUGGUAGAGCAUCGGAGUGCAAAUGCGAAGGUCUGAGGUUCGAUUCCCCACGGGGACU